AUUGAACGCUGGCGGCAGGCUUAACACAUGCAAGUCGAGCGAGCGGCGGACGGGUGAGUAAUGUCUGGGAACUGCCUGAUGGAGGGGGAUAACUACUGGAAACGGUAGCUAAUACCGCAUACUAUCGGAUAACCCAUAUGGGAUUAGCUAGUAGGUGAGGUAAUGGCUCACCAAGGAGACGAACCCUCGCUGGUCUGAGAGGAUGAUCAGCCCCACUGGUGUCGAGACACGGCCCAGACUCCUCCGGAGGCAGCAGUGGGGAAUAUUGCACAAUGGUCGCAAGCCUGAUGCAGCCAUGCCGCGUGUAUGAAGAAGGCCCUAGGGUUUUAAAGUACUGUCAGUCGGGAGGCGUUACCGACAGAAGAAGCACCGGCUAACUCCGUGCCAGCAGCCGCGGUAAUAC
rnacentral:rRNA from 1 species